rnacentral:rRNA from 1 species
UACGUAGGGUGCGAGCGUUGUCCGGAAUUAUUGGGCGUAAAGAGCUUGUAGGCGGUUUGUCGCGUCUGCUGUGAAAAUCCGGGGCUCAACCCCGGACUUGCAGUGGGUACGGGCAGACUAGAGUGUGGUAAGGGAGACUGGAAUUCCUGGUGUAGCGGUGAAAUGCGCAGAUAUCAGGAGGAACACCGAUGGCGAAGGCAGGUCUCUGGGCCACUACUGACGCUGAGAAGCGAAAGCAUGGGGAGCGAACAGG